UGUCAUAAAACGAUGUUUAUGUUAUAUAUGAUGUUGAGCAAAGCCAUUUGUCAAGAACAAAGAUAGCGUGGCGUCAGGCGGGCUGAAUUGGCCACUCACCCCUCCUUCCGCACACGCUUAGAGUAUAAAAGGAGAACUUUGGAUACUCUCGGUAGAGUCUGCUGCGGGUUGCGUACGGACGCCCAGCCGGUAUUGAAGCUCGCUCUGCCUGGAGUGUUGGCUCUCCCUCCUAUUGGCGCACGUAUACUGUAUGUGGCCUGCGAUUGCCUGGCAUCCAGUUCAGGGUGUAACCUCACCUCUCACAGUCAGCUGGGGUAAGUUCCAGCAUGCCCGCAACCAUACUGAGGAUAAGAUGAAAGAAUGAAUGUGUAUCAUAUACAGCAUGGUUCAUUGAGCGUUUAUGAAAUAUGAUCCGGUUUACGAAACAUGUUCCAAUUGUUUGCCGCUCGACCUGAAAUCACUCCCAGUUGUAUUUUAGAGAGCAUAUUCAGCUCAUUUAACAAAUGUAAAUAAAAUGUAGAAUAGAACAAUA